rnacentral:lncRNA from 1 species
AGAUCGGUAGCCGGCGCGGCGCAGCAUGGCGGGGGCGUGUGGUAAGCCCCACAUGUCACCGGCAUCGCUGCCGGGGAAACGACGUUUGGAACCUGAUCAGGAGCUGCAGAUACAAGAGGUAACUUCCAAGUAGCGGACAGCAUCCCUCUGGGAACCAUGCAGGCACUUGGCAAGACCAGGGAGGCCGGGCCGUGGCGCAGCGUGUAGUGUCGUGUGGGUCGCCUAGAGCCUGAUCGUCCAGUCUGGGCUGUUAUUUUGGAACUCUCAGCAGAACAUUACUUGCGCCGAGGGGCGCUGGAACCCGGGGGAUAGUUCUGUGGCUUGAACCGUGUUAAGGGAGAGACCUUUAAGAGUCCCCUCACCAUAGUCUCUGGACCUUCCAUCUGUGCUUCCUGUCCUGGGAAAGGUUGUAAUUGCGCUCGUGCUGUGCUACCAAGCCAGCAUGUCAGGUGUGUUGUGAAUCAAAAGAGGACUUGAGAUUAUGGAAGUCUGAUUGGAACCCAGGGCAUCCAGAACUGGUUGUCAUGGAACCAUUGCUAGUCCAUGUUGCUAAGCUCAGUAGGCUUGCUACAUUCAUCAAAUGUAGGUGGUAGAAGGCAUGCACAGCUGACUCCACUGAAUUGGAUCCUCAAAGUUCUCAACUUUCCUAAUGCUGUGGCCCUUUUAAUACGGUUCCUCGUGUUGCGGUGAUUUCCCAACUACAAAAUCAUUUUCGCUGCUACUUCAUAACUGUAAUUUUGCCGGGUGGUGGUGGCACACGCCUUUAAUCCCAGCACUUGGGAGGCAGAGGCAGGUGGAUUUCUGAGUUCGAGGCCAGUCUGGUCUACAAAGUGAGUGCCAGGACAGCCAGGGCUACACAGAGAAACCCUGUCUCGAAAAAACCAAAAAGAAAACAUAACUGUAAUUUUGCUACUGUUAUGAAUCGUAAUUAUUUGAUAUGCAGGAUAGUCUAUGAAAGGGUUGCUCGCCCCAGAGGGAUUGUGACCCACUGGUUGAGAACCACUACGUAAGUUGUCCCUUUGUUUUAUGAAACGCCCCUAAGCUUUUCCCUCUGUGUAGUUCUAGGCAGUAAGCCUUUAAUAGUCAGUUGUUUAUGCCCUAACUGCGUGCAGUACUUUUACUUGUUAGUAUGACAAGUAGCGUAGUUUUAGAGAUGUCAAUAAUAAGAGAAUGUCAGUGUGACAUCUAUGGAAACUCAGGUGAUCACUGUGAUGAUUGGCAGCGAAGGCCACUCAGGUAGACAAGAACUAGCCAGCGGCAUUGGCACCCAUCUUUAAUCCCAGCACUCAGAAGACAGAGACAGAUGACCUCCGUUAGUUCGAGGUCAGCUUGGUCUACAGUGUGAGUACUAGGUGCAGUCACAUGCUUCCUCCAGUGUUCAAGUACUUGUUCAACUUUUGGAGGUCAGUGAUAGAAAACUGUUCACAAUGCUUGAAUGUCUUAUUGUGUUCGUUGUAAAGUGGCCUCUAGGGCUGUACUCACAGGAUUCUCUGUUC